GACGAACGCUGGCGGCGUGCUUAACACAUGCAAGUCGAACGGAGCGAUUUAUUUCGGUAAAUCGCUUAGUGGCAAACGGGUGAGUAACGCGUAGGCAACCUGCCCUCAGGAUGGGGACAACGGCUCGAAAGAGCCGCUAACACCGAAUGACGUACCUUUUUCACAUGGAAGAGAUACUAAAGAUGGGUCAAACCAUCGCCUGAGGAUGGGCCUGCGUCUGAUUAGCCAGUUGGUGAGGUAACGGCUCACCAAAGCAACGAUCAGUAGCCGGUCUGAGAGGAUGAACGGCCACAAUGGGACUGAGACACGGCCCAUACUCCUACGGGAGGCAGCAGUGGGGAAUCUUCCGCAAUGGGCGCAAGCCUGACGGAGCAACGCCGCGUGAGUGAAGAAGGUCUUCGGAUCGUAAAGCUCUGUUGUCGGGGACGAAAGGAAAGGGGAGGCAAGCCCCUUUUAAGACGGUACCCGACGAGGAAGCCACGGCUAACUACGUGCCAGCAGCCGCGGUAAUACGUAGGCGGCAAGCGUUGUCCGGAAUUAUUGGGCGUAAAGGGAGCGCAGGUGGGACGGUAAGUCUGUCUUAAAAGGCAAGGGCUCAGCCCCUGUAAGGGACAGAAAUCUAUCGUUCUUGAGAUGCCGGAGAGGAAAGCGGAAUUCCCAGUGUAUGCGGUGAAAUGCGUAUAUAUUGGGAAGAACACCAGUGGCGAAGGCGGCUUUCUGGACGGCAACUGACACUGAGGCUCGAAAGCCAGGGUAGACGAACGGGAUUAGAUACCCCGGUAGUCCUGGCCGUAAACGAUGGAUACUAGGUGUAGGGGGUAUCGACCCCUCCUGUGCCGGAGUGAACGCAAUAAGUAUCCCGCCUGGGGAGUACGGUCGCAAGACUGAAACUCAACGAAUUGACGGGGGCCCGCACAAGCGGUGGAGUAUGUG
rnacentral:rRNA from 1 species